CGUGUAGGCGGCUUGGUAAGUCGGGUGUGAAAGCCCGGGGCUCAACCCCGGAACUGCAUUCGAAACUGCCUCGCUAGAGUUCCGGAGAGGAAGGCAGAAUUCCCGGUGUAGAGGUGAAAUUCGUAGAUAUCGGGAGGAAUACCAGUGGCGAAGGCGGCCUUCUGGACGGCAACUGACGCUGAGACGCGAAAGCGUGGGGAGCAAACAGGAUUAGAUACCCUGGUAGUCC
rnacentral:rRNA from 1 species